rnacentral:rRNA from 1 species
UACGGAGGGUGCGAGCGUUAAUCGGAAUUACUGGGCGUAAAGCGCACGUAGGUGGUUGCGUAAGUCGGAUGUGAAAGCCCCGGGCUUAACCUGGGAAUUGCAUUCGAUACUGCGUAACUAGAGUUCGGAAGAGGGAAGUGGAAUUCCAGGUGUAGCGGUGAAAUGCGUAGAUAUCUGGAGGAACAUCAGUGGCGAAGGCGACUUCCUGGUCCGAAACUGACACUGAGGUGCGAAAGCGUGGGGAGCAAACAGG